rnacentral:misc_RNA from 1 species
UUGUGCACCACUGAGUCCUAGUAAGCUAUCGCAGAUAUAGAGACUAGAGGAGAGAGUAAGCUACUAAGGAUCAUGGAGCUGCAUCCCGAAGGUUUUGUCAGGUAUAAUUUUAUACCAUGUUCGUAAUGUUUAUAUUUGUGUAUGUAACUGUACGUACAUGUAUAAACUGGUCUUGAGCAGUUCUAUAGAUUUUGUAAUAAUAUUAAUUUGAAUUUUCUAAUGUAAAUUUUGAGUUAAUGGAUGUAAAU